AAUCUUCACGAGGAGGGACUUAGUGGAAGAAAGUUAGGCCAUUAGGGCCUUGCCCUUGAAGGGGGAUAUGGAGUCACUGGCCUCUUCCUCUCUCCCUUCCUAGCAGUCAAGAGCUGAACAGAUGACCUCUGCCGCACGCUUCAUCGCCAGCCCAGAGCAAGAGGCCGGUCAAGAGGAGACUGAAACCCCAAUGAUAUCAGCCUCAGCGUUGACGAAGAUGCUUGCUGAGACCCAGCUGGCAUCAGCACAGUCAUACUCAGCCAGCUGGACUUUGUCUCAAGAGGACACCAGAAGGACGGACGACCAGAUGCAGACAUUUUCUCUCCUUUAAAAAAAGUUUCC